UAAGGGGCCACACCGAGUGUGCAGCAACGUCCCAGGUCUUCGCGGUUGCUCCCUGCUCACUCACUGACUCACCCGGAGCAACUUCCAGUACUACAAGCUCCAUUUACGAUGUCAAGGCUUGGAUUCUGAACUUCCACGUAAACAGUUGUGAGCCACAAUUGAUGAGGCUGAUCUUCAAAAAGCCCAACUUUAGCCCUGGCUGGGUAACUCAGCUGGUUAGAACAUCAUCCUGAUACACCAAGGUUGCAGGUUUGAUCCCCAGUCACGGCACAUACAAGAAUUCGACCAAUGAAUGGAUAAAGGCUGCUUGUUUUGCAUACCUUAUAAGCUGCACUCAGUAUCUGCUGGCCAUGCAUGAGACAAGUCCAGGACCCCAAACUGCCCACAGAGGGAGCUGCUGACAACAUCAU